CAAUAGCGUAUAUUAAAGUUGUUGCAGUUAAAAAGCUCGUAGUCGGAUUUCGGGUCGGGCCGAGCGGUCUGCCGAUGGGUAUGCACUGUUUGGCGCGGCCUUCUUUCCGGAGACCGCGGCUACUCUUAACUGAGCGGGCGUGGGAGACGGAUCGUUUACUUUGAAAAAAUCAGAGUGUUUCUAGCAGGCAGCUCGCUCUUGCAUAGGUUAGCAUGGGAUAAUUUAAUAGGACUCUGGUGCUAUUUUGUUGGUUUCGAACACCGGAGUAAUGAUUAAAAGGGGCAGUCAGGGGCACUCUAUUCGUCGAGAGAGGUGAAUACUCAGACCAAUAGAGACGAACCAACUGCGAAGACAUUUGUCCAGGAGUGUUUUCUACUGAUCAAGAACGAAAG
rnacentral:rRNA from 1 species